GUAGGAGAGCAGUCCUGCAUUGUAGUCCAGCACGAACCAACGAUACUGCCAUCCCUUCAUCACGUUAGUCCAUUUGCUCAGCGGCCCUUCCACGAUGGACGCCAUCUUGGGAGCCGCCAAUGACAACAAACGGCCUGACGCCUUGCCUCGAAAGAAAAGGCAGCUGAAGUAUAGAAGAAAAAGACAAUUAGACUCAGCCACAAGAAGAGAUAAUGCUGGGCUGGAGAGAUGGCUCAGCGGUUAAGAGCACCUGACUGCUCUUCCAGAGGUCCUGAGUUCAAUUCCCAGCAACCACAUGGUGGCUCACAACCAUCUGUAAAGAGAUCCGAUGCCCUCUUCUGGUGUGUCUGAAGACAGCUACAGCAUACUUAUAUGUAAUAAAUGAAUAAAAAAUCUUAAAAAAAAAA